CGCGGGCUUCGGCCUGGCGGCGAGUGGCGGACGGGUGAGUAAUGCUUGGGAAUCUGCCCAGUAGUGGGGGACAACCCGGGGAAACCCGGGCUAAUACCGCAUACGUCCUACGGGAGAAAGCGGGGGAUCUUCGGACCUCGCGCUAUUGGAUGAGCCCAAGUCGGAUUAGCUAGUUGGUAGGGUAACGGCCUACCAAGGCGACGAUCCGUAGCUGGUCUGAGAGGACGAUCAGCCACACCGGAACUGAGACACGGUCCGGACUCCUACGGGAGGCAGCAGUGGGGAAUAUUGGACAAUGGGCGCAAGCCUGAUCCAGCAAUGCCGCGUGUGUGAAGAAGGCCUGCGGGUUGUAAAGCACUUUCAGCAGGGAAGAACAGCGUGGGGCUAAUAUCCCCGCGUCCUGACGUCACCUGCAGAAGAAGCACCGGCUAACUCCGUGCCAGCAGCCGCGGUAAUACGGAGGGUGCGAGCGUUAAUCGGAAUUACUGGGCGUAAAGCGCACGUAGGCGGCUUGGUAAGUCGAAUGUGAAAGCCCCGGGCUUAACCUGGGAACUGCAUCCGAAACUGCCUGGCUGGAGUAAGGGAGAGGGAAGCGGAAUUUCCGGUGUAGCGGUGAAAUGC
rnacentral:rRNA from 1 species